AACGCAUAUUGCGCCCAGUAGCAUUCUACUGGGCAUGCCUAUUCGAGCGUCAUUUCAACCCUUACGCCCCUGUAGCGUAGUGUUGGGGCUCUACCGAAAGGUAGUCCCCUAAAACCAGUGGCGGUGUUCGGUGCACUCAUAGCGUAGUAAUUCUUUCUCGCUCCUGACGUGGCCUGAGCUACCAGCCGUAAAACCUCCUAUUUUCUCGUGGUUGACCUCGGAUCAGGUAGGAAUACCCGCUGAACUUAA
rnacentral:misc_RNA from 1 species